CCGCCGCCCCAGAGUCGCAGAAGCCGGGGCCCAGAAGUGCGCACAGGGCUCCAGCUGCCGGGGCUGCCAUUGCAUUGGAAACGGACACCUGAUUUACUGAUACAAAGGAGAUACAACCACCCUUCCAUGCUCGUUUUUCCCUUCUUCCUGCAGUUCUUGUGAGCCCCAGCUGAAGUACAAACUCACAAGCUAACACUUCCAGGGGCCACGGAGUGACUUACCUGAGCAGCGAUCCCUGCAGUGAGGACGAGAAGGGACAACCUUCCCUCCUAAUGCAUCUGUUCCAAAAUCACAGGAAGAAGUCAGGAACAGACACAGGGCAAUGACAACAGAGAGGCAAUUACACUUUUAAUGAUUAGAAAAUGUGGCAGCAUUUAUUUGGAGCAUGAUGAGACUAACCAAGAGCAGCUGCUUUCCAGAACAAUCCACUCUUUUCUGUUUUAGAAACACAUAGAACAGUACUUUCCACACCCUUGCAUUGUACACAAGUCCUCCCUUUGAACCCCGAAUCUCUCAUGCAGAUGCCAAAGUCAGCACAAAUACAAGAGCCCCUUCAACCCUUCCAACCAGCCAGAGCAGCACCAAGCAGGCUGUGACUGGGAACCACUGCUCCCAAAAUCCCAUCCAGUCAAAUCAGGAGAUGAUUCUCAACAAACAGAGAAUUAUCCUGCCAAAUUCAUUGGUCUGUGGCCCCCAUCCUCUUCCUCCAUCCUUUUCUGCACUGCCAAGGGGCAGCAUAUCCCAAAAAGAGAGCCGAACCACCGACUCUCCAGGAUGACACAUUCUCUUGGGUGGCUUGCACAAAUCAGACACACCUCACUCCUACCUCAUUAGUUCUAUUCACUUCUUCCAAAAUUAAAAAAAAAAAA